rnacentral:rRNA from 1 species
GACGAACGCUGGCGGCGUGCCUAAUACAUGCAAGUAGAACGCUGAAGGAGGGGCUUGCUCUUCUGGAUGAGUUGCGAACGGGUGAGUAACGCGUAGGUAACCUGCCUGGUAGCGGGGGAUAACUAUUGGAAACGAUAGCUAAUACCGCAUAACAGUAGAUGUUGCAUGACAUUUACUUAAAAGGUGCAAUUGCAUCACUACCAGAUGGACCUGCGUUGUAUUAGCUAGUUGGUGGGGUAACGGCUCACCAAGGCGACGAUACAUAGCCGACCUGAGAGGGUGAUCGGCCACACUGGGACUGAGACACGGCCCAGACUCCUACGGGAGGCAGCAGUAGGGAAUCUUCGGCAAUGGACGGAAGUCUGACCGAGCAACGCCGCGUGAGUGAAGAAGGUUUUCGGAUCGUAAAGCUCUGUUGUAAGAGAAGAACGAGUGUGAGAGUGGAAAGUUCACACUGUGACGGUAUCUUACCAGAAAGGGACGGCUAACUACGUG